UACGUAGGGUGCGAGCGUUGUCCGGAAUUACUGGGCGUAAAGAGCUCGUAGGUGGUUUGUCGCGUUGUUCGUGAAAACUCACAGCUUAACUGUGGGCGUGCGGGCGAUACGGGCAGACUGGAGUACUGCAGGGGAGACUGGAAUUCCUGGUGUAGCGGUGAAAUGCGCAGAUAUCAGGAGGAACACCGGUGGCGAAGGCGGGUCUCUGGGCAAUGAACUGACGUGAGGAGCGAAAGCGUGGGGAGCGAACAGG
rnacentral:rRNA from 1 species